AAGUCGUAACAAGGUCUCCGUAGGUGAACCUGCGGAGGGAUCAUUAACACGUUUAUAUCACUAUAAACGUAUCUAUACCAAACAAAUAGAAACAAAAGUUGAGAUGAACAAUGAUAUGAAAAUAUCAUCCUAAUCAAUACUUAGUUACUCUCCCUAGCUAUACUAUUUAUUUAGUGUAAUUAGGCUAUUUAUUCAAUUAUUCACCCCUUUCCAACUUUAUCAAAACAAUCCAUGUCUUAUAUGUGAAUAAAUGAAUUUUUAUUCUUACAUUGAUAUUUUAAUGUUAAAAGCACAACUCUUAGCAACGGAUAUCUUGGUUCUCGUAACGACGAAGAACGCAGC
rnacentral:misc_RNA from 1 species